AUUGAUUUGUCAGAUUUUAAUUGAUUUAAAUUUAGGAUUUAAUUAUAUGUAUUUAUACAUAAUCAAUA
rnacentral:tRNA from 1 species